AAGUCGGGAAGCCUGUGCGGCCGUCCCCGUGAGAGCCACACUCACUGUUGUUUGAUCUCAACAGUUGUGUUAAUACGAUGUAGCUUAAAGAUGUCGCCUGGUGAACCGUUUCUUGCUAAGUAAAGUCAUCCAGUCAGUCAUUCCAGCAAUCAGUCAGUCACAGAAGGAAAACAAUAAAGAGGGAAACGGAUGCUGCGCCGCAAGCCGUCGCGAGGAUUUCUUUGGAUGUUUGGGCGCGUUCCCUUCGGCCUUCCGUCCCAGAACGGUGAACGCGGUGAUCGGCGACUUUUCCCUAUUUGUUUUUAAUUUCAUAAUCCAGUCUGGUAGUUUUAUUAAGCGAGAUCCUGCAUCUUCCCCCCUCGCCUCGGCGGGGUGCGAAGCGCCAGCGAGCCCAAGGUCUCCCUGGCGAGCAUGGCAGGAAUGGAGAUCUCCCGGCAGGGCGCCUCGGCGUCCCCCGGGGCCUCCACGGAGGUGCCGGAGAUCUGCCGGCUGCAAGCCCGGGCAGGUGCGGCUGGUUAGCCGUGGUAGGCAAUUCACCUAGGAGAGCAAACUCCGAACAACAAACCCGGGCAGGUGGGGCUCGUUAGCCGUGGUAGGCAAUUCACCUAGGAGAGCAAACUCCGAACAACAAACCCGGGCAGGUGGGGCUCGUUAGCCGUGGUAGGCAGUCUGCCUAGGAGAGCAAACUCCGAACAACAAACCCGGGCAGGUGGGGCUCGUUAGCCGUGGUAGGCAGUCUGCCUAGGAGAGCAAACUCCGAACAACAAACCCGGGCAGGUGGGGCUCGUUAGCCGUGGCAGGCAGUUCAUCUAGGAGAGGGACAACUCCGAACAAUAAACCCGGGCAGGUGGAGCUCGUCAGCCGUGGCAGGCAGUUCAUCUAGGAGAGGGACAACUCCGAACAAGAAACACGGGCAGGUGGAGCUCGUUAGAUGUCGUAGACAUCCACGUGAUGGGAACACCAAAAUGAAAAGGAGAAUGAAAAAGAACACCAGAAUAAUGAAAACGAAGAAACGAAACAUCAAGAAAACAAAAUAAGAAACAGAUCAUCCACCUUUCGGCCCUAAUUAACAUCACCAAAAUUAUGGGUGGGUCUUUUCUGGGGAGAAAGAGGCUCAUCCAGACCAAAGAACAUCAAGAGGGAUGAUACAGAAAAGAUAAAAGAACAACAAGAAAAGAAUUAAUACAAACAUCGUCCACCUUUCAGCCCCAAGGAACAUCACAAAAUUAUGGGUGGGUCUUUUCUGGGGAGAAAAAGGCUCAGCCAGCCCAAAGAACAUCAGAACGGAUGAUACAGGAAAGAUAAAAGACGAACAUCAAGAAAAGAAGAAAAAGACAUCAUCCGCCUUUCGGCCACAAGUAACAUCACAAAAUUAUGGGUGGGUCUCUUCUGGGAGGAAAGCGGCUCACUCAGACCAACGAACAUCAACAAAAGGAUGAUAUAGAAAACAACAAGAGCAAGAAAAUGAACAGAAUAACAUCGAAAAUGAAAACAAAACAUCAAGGAAAGAAAACUAUAAGAAACAUCAUCCACCUUUCAGCCCUCAGCAACAUCACCAAAAUUAUGGGUGGGUCUCUUCUGGGAGGAAAGCGGCUCACCCAGACCAACGAACAUCAACAAAAGGAUGACAGGAAAAGAAAGAAAAGGAAAAAGAAAAAGAAAAGAGAGAAAAGAAAGA